rnacentral:rRNA from 1 species
UGUUUCGGCUAGGGGGUCAUCCCGACUUACCAACCCGAUGCAAACUACGAAUACCGAAGAAUGUUAUCACGGGAGACACACGGCGGGUGCUAACGUCCGUCGUGAAGAGGGAAACAACCCAGACCGCCAGCUAAGGUCCCAAAGUCAUGGUUAAGUGGGAAACGAUGUGGGAAGGCACAGACAGCCAGGAUGUUGGCUUAGAAGCAGCCAUCAUUUAAAGAAAGCGUAAUAGCUCACUGGUCGAGUCGGCCUGCGCGGAAGAUGUAACGGG